rnacentral:lncRNA from 1 species
CGUCACCACAGCUUCAGGCCUGGGGGGCUUCGGCCACUGAGAUGAGGGGUUCAGGCCAGGUUUCAGAGUCCCACCAGGCCUCCCUCUUGCAACAGAAGGAAAGUCCACACUGAGGAGGAUCAUGGCCUGCUACGGUCGAAGUGCAAGGCACGCGUCAGAAGCAGUGGCUCCUUCUGCAGCAGGACUCACCUACUGACUCAGAAGGACGUCCUCCAGGGACAGCCAGCUCCUCCUCUGAGCGCACAGCCCAUGUCCUCUGCUGUGCGCUCCUCGCGCGAACCGACCCCACCUCGGACCGGAAGCCACCUUGGGCUGGAGGAUGCCAUGAAGUCUCUCUGGUUCAACGUGCAUGCACCGUCUCACUUAACCUGGGUUACUCUGUAUGAGUUGCACAGAAAAGGCCAACAUGGACAUCUGAGGACAGACAGCACAGGAGUACAGGAACUAAUGCAAAUUGCAUGUGAAUGACAUCCCCAUGCAGGCCACUACUGACCACACUUACCCUCCCAUUUCACACACCUGCUUGGGACUAUCCUUCCUGGAGGCCACUGGAACUUCUGGAGCCACCUGCAGCACUUCUGAUGCAUUUCCUAGAAGCUUUUGCACCUGCAAGAGAAACGAGGUUGAAGCAGUGUUGCAGUGUUGGUAUUGCUGUGGUGUGACUUUGUUCUAGUUUAGGUUUAACAAAGUUAAACAAUAUACAUCCAGAUCCACGUUGAUAUGCUGGACAUAAGAUUGGGUUGUGUUUAGCUCUGAGUCACGCCCUGAAGAAACCCCUGCGAGGCAUCCUGUUUGCCUCUGUGAGUGGAGCGAGGGAGCCAGCUCCCUGAAUCAGCCCAUCUCCGAGGUGGCUCCGAACAUUGUUGCUGGAAGCUUAGAGUCCAGCCUUAUUCUCUAGUCCUUCCAACAAUUAAACCAGCUGAAUGUGGAUUCUCUUUGCAACUGAGAACCUAACUGACAGAGCUGGCCGCAUGUUCCUGGUCAUUGUAGAUCUUUGGGGAUGCCCAGGUGUGCAGAGGUAACUCCUGGUUGGUGACCCAUGAGGACACUUCCUAUGCAAACAUCAAGGAUGUCUACUUCGUGCCAUGUCGUGAAUUCUCAGGCACAGGCUUCCUGAGCAUCUACCAUGCGUCAAGCACUCUGCAAGGCACCAAAGGCACACAGGUAAUUAAGACAUGGUGCUGGCUCCUGGGAACUCACCAUCCAUGAGGCUCACAGAGGCAUCAUUUGACCAUUUUAGCACAAGAUGGGUGGGCAGGUGUUCCUAAGAGCUGCCCCUCCAUCCAAUGGGACAUGGCCUGUGGCUCUCCAGUGUCCACAAAAUGAACAAAGUGCAGCCGAGCUUGAGGUCCUGCGGUCCUUGAGGAUGAUCUGAACCCACGCAGCUGAUGGAGCCUUCGGAGGACACAGAGCCCUAGGCGGGAGUAGGACCUCAGAGAGGAGCAGCCAUGUGGGGGUCCCAGAUUCUCAGAACAUCCUCCGUCACUGGGGUGGCUCAUCCAUGGCAGAGCUGGCUGACCUCAAGUCACCCUAAGGACUGGAAACGGGUGUCUCAGUGGUGAGCAGUGCAGACAGGCCCAAGGCAAGACCCAGUCUCUUGUUCUUUCUCUACAGCCUGUGAGUAUGUGUGCAAGAGAGUGUGUGUUGGGGGAACAGCCCUGAAAAAAGAGGGGCUCUAAUUUCUUCCUUGCUUGGCAGGGUGAGCGCUCAGAGUGAAAGCUAAGUUGCUUUACUGGUUAUCAAGGCAGCAGAAUAACUGGGAUUAUCAUACAUUGGGGUAGGAGUAGAAAAUGAGACACCCACUCUAGAAAAGAAAGUGUUUCCUGCACACUGGAAUUUGUAAAGUGCAUCAUAUUCAUGACAAGGAAUCCUCAUGAUACCGUAAUGCCAUUGUCAAAUAGCUAUGUUGACUCUCAUCUUGUAGAUGAAGAAUCAAGGCUCAGAGAAAAUCUCUCAAGCUGGCCGCAGGGCUGUUUCCACUGUGCCUGCUC